CUGAAAGGCAGGAGUGCCCGCAAGGGAGCGCGGAGACAGGUGGUGCAUGGCUGUCGUCAGCUCGUGUCGUGAGAUGUUGGGUUAAGUCCCGCAACGAGCGCAACCCUCACCCCUUGUUGCUACCAGGUAAAGCUGGGCACUCUAGGGGAACUGCCCCGGUCAACGGGGAGGAAGGCGGGGAUGACGUCAAGUCAUCAUGCCCCUUACGUCCUGGGCUACACACGUGCUACAAUGGCCGGUACAAAGGGAUGCCACACCGCGAGGUAGAGCUAAACCCAAAAAGCCGGUCUAAGUUCAGAUUGGAGUCUGCAACUCGACUCCAUGAAGGAGGAAUCGCUAGUAACCGCGUAUCAGCACGACGCGGUGAAUACGUUCCCGGGCCUUGUACACACCGCCCGUCACACCACGAAAGCCAG
rnacentral:rRNA from 1 species